GUCGGUGCGCCAACGUCGUGAAGGCAGCCGACCGUAAAGAGUGAAGUAGGUGACUGGGGUG
rnacentral:rRNA from 1 species